GGAGGGAUGGCUGAGCGGCCGAAAGCGGCGGUCUUGAAAACCGUUGGGCGUGCAAGCGCCCCGUGGGUUCGAAUCCUACUCCCUCCGCCA
rnacentral:tRNA from 2 species